rnacentral:rRNA from 1 species
GACGAACGCUGGCGGCGUGCUUAACACAUGCAAGUCGAACGGAAAGGCCCUGCUUUUGUGGGGUGACCGAGUGGCGAACGGGUGAGUAACACGUGAGUAACCUGCUCUUGACUUUGGGAUAACUUCAGGAAACUGGGGCUAAUACCGGAUAGGAGCUCACGCUGCAUGGUGGGGGUUGGAAAGUUUCGGCGGUUGGGGAUGGACUCGCGGCUUAUCAGCUUGUUGGUUGGGUAGUGGCUUACCAAGGCUUUGACGGGUAGCCGGCCUGAGAGGGUGACCGGCCACAUUGGGACUGAGAUACGGCCCAGACUCCUACGGGAGGCAGCAGUGGGGAAUAUUGCACAAUGGGCGGAAGCCUGAUGCAGCAACGCCGCGUGCGGGAUGACGGCCUUCGGGUUGUAAACCGCUUUCGCCUGUGACGAAGCGUGAGUGACGGUAAUGGGUAAAGAAGCACCGGCUAACUACGUG